rnacentral:rRNA from 1 species
GAUGAACGCUGGCGGCGUGCCUAAUACAUGCAAGUCGAGCGAACAGACGAGGAGCUUGCUCCUCUGACGUUAGCGGCGGACGGGUGAGUAACACGUGGAUAACCUACCUAUAAGACUGGGAUAACUUCGGGAAACCGGAGCUAAUACCGGAUAAUAUAUUGAACCGCAUGGUUCAAUAGUGAAAGACGGUUUUGCUGUCACUUAUAGAUGGAUCCGCGCCGCAUUAGCUAGUUGGUAAGGUAACGGCUUACCAAGGCGACGAUGCGUAGCCGACCUGAGAGGGUGAUCGGCCACACUGGAACUGAGACACGGUCCAGACUCCUACGGGAGGCAGCAGUAGGGAAUCUUCCGCAAUGGGCGAAAGCCUGACGGAGCAACGCCGCGUGAGUGAUGAAGGUCUGCGGAUCGUAAAACGCUGUUAUUAGGGAAGAACAAAUGUGUAAGUAACUAUGCACGUCUUGACGGUACCUAAGCAGAAAGCCACGGCUAACUACGU